rnacentral:tRNA from 1 species
AGGAUAAUAGUUAAAAAUAACAUUUGAUUUGCAUUCAAAAAUUAUUAAUAAACUACUUAAUUUAUCUUA